ensembl:lncRNA
UGUAUGUUAGGCUAAGUAAAGACGGUCACUCACUCCUCGCCAAUGGAACUCAGUGCAUGACCAGAGAGACUCAGCACGAGAUGCAACCUAUGAAAACAAUGACAGGGACAGGCCUCUAUUCGCUUGCUUGCCUUCUCAUGAUCAGCAGUGUCCGCUCUACCUGUGUUCCUUUGGAGUGUCUGAGGUGUGACAUAAUCCCCUCACCUGAAGUGUCUGGGAAUCACAAAGCAGAUGAGGGAUGGGCUUCCCCUGGAGGGCGAGAACAAUAGCACGGUGACCUUGGAGAGGAUAGGCAUAGAUACCCCUGCCGAGGGGAUAUACACCUGCACCAUCCAGAGUCCCUGUGGCAACUUCACCUCAGAUCCAGAAGAACUUGAAUUUAAAGGUAGACACACUCGCCAGUCAUAUUUGAGACUUGAAAAGUCUGUUUCUACUCAUAAUCAAAUCCAAUCUAAUUGUAUAGUCACAUGCGCCGAAUACAACAGGUGUAGUAGACCUUACAGUGAAAUGCUAACUUACGAGCCCCUAACCAACAUUGUAGUUUCAAAAAAUACAGAUAAGAAUAACAGAUAAAAGUAACAAGUAAUUAAAGAUCAGCAAUAAAAAAUAACAAUAUAUACAGGGGGGUGCCGGUACAGAGUCAAUGUUUUAUUUUAGUUUUUGUUUUACCUUUAUUUUACUAGGCAAGUCAGUUAAGAACAAAUUCUUAUUUUCAAUGACGGCACCGGUUAGUUGAGUUAAUUAAAGUGACUAUGCAUAGAUGAAAACAGAGAGUGACAGUGGUGUGGAGAGGGAGGGGGGCAAUGCAAAUGGUGUGGGUAGCCAUUUGACUAGAUCUUCAGGAGUCUUAUGGCUUGGGGGUAGAAGCUGUUUAGACCUAGACUUGGAGCUCCGGUACCGCUUGCCAUGUGUUAGCAGAGACAGUCUAUGACUAGGGUGCCUGG